AUGGAGACGGAGCUCCUUCUCCCGCAUCACUCAUGGAGCCUCCCUCUCAGCGCUCGGAGCCCUAGAGAGAAAGGAAUUCAAGGCCAUGGCUGGAGAGAGGAGCUGCUCCUAGUACAGGAUGCCAUGGAAGGUGCUGCUCUGAUGAGGAGAAACUGCUGCUGUAGGAUGUCCUCCUCCCAUCCCCUACCCCCACACGUGGUGAGCUCCUAUGCAUAUGUGGAUAAUCAGGAACUAAUGUUUAAUUGGUUACUUCAUAAUCUGUUCCACUGUAUGCAUGAACGCUCACACAUUUUUUUCCUGCCAUUUAUAUACAUAACUAUUGGACAGUGA
rnacentral:rRNA from 1 species